CAGUACUCUGCCAUAAAAUAAGAGUGGUAUUCGAGAUUGAGCUCAAAUAAGCCCUGGAGGCCUAAGUCAGCUACAUGAAGUAGCCCAAAUGCCAAUGAUUGCUUUCCCUAGCCUGUACCUAUGCCUUGUGAGGAGUAGCCUGUCACCAGGGGACACCAUCGUUUCCCUCCAGAAACUGCCACUCCCCAUCAAGAGGCAGAGUCUGUUUCUCCUUCUGAUGAAGCUGGGCAGGACUUUGUGACCACGUUGCCAUGACACUGACAUGUCCCAGGGAGGGGUUGCUCCUUCCACUUUGAUCUGGGGAAAAGGAAGACCUGGAGCAGAGCCACCACCAAUCCAAGAGAGCAAGAAGUAAAUCUUUGUUGUUCUCAAACCAAAUAGGUGUCUAUAUGACAGAAGGAACCCUUGCUGGUGGUUUUGAGUUAAGUUCAGCCAAGAGUGACAGUUGCCCCAGACUCUAAGGCCAUCAUCUGGGAGCUCUCAGAGUGCCCACAAGUGAAGUUUGAUUUGCAAGACUGCUAUGUAAAACUAGCAGAGAGAAGAAUGGGGCUAGAGAUUGAGUGAUCAAUGAUUGGAACAACCAUGCCUACAUAAUGAAGCCUUGAUGGAAACUCUAGACCGAUGGAAGUCUGGGGAGCUUCUGGAUUGAUGAAUACUUCAAUGUGCUUGGAGGGUGGUACAGACAGAAAAGGCACAGAAACCCUACACCAUGCCCACCCCUGACCUUGCUCUCUGUAUCCCUUCCAUUUGACUGUUUCUCAGUUGUAUCCUUUAUAUUAAAAUUGCGAUAUUAAGUAUAGUA